UGGGGAAUAUUGCGCAAUGGGGGGAACCCUGACGCAGCAACGCCGCGUGAAGGAUGAAGGUUUUCGGAUUGUAAACUUCUUUGAUGAGGACGAAAGAAAUGACGGUACCUCAAAAACAAGCCACGGCUAACUACGUGCCAGCAGCCGCGGUAAUACGUAGGUGGCGAGCGUUGUCCGGAAUUACUGGGUGUAAAGGGCGUGUAGGCGGGGAUGUAAGUCAGAUGUGAAAUACCGUGGCUUAACUACGGGGCUGCAUCUGAAACUAUGUUUCUUGAGUGUCGGAGAGGAAGUGGAAUUCCCAGUGUAGCGGUGAAAUGCGUAGAUAUUGGGAGGAACACCAGUGGCGAAGGCGACUUUCUGG
rnacentral:rRNA from 1 species